UGAGGAAUAUUGGUCAAUGGGUGAGAGCCUGAACCAGCCAUCCCGCGUGCAGGAUGACGGCCCUAUGGGUUGUAAACUGCUUUUCCACGCCAAGAAAGGUCCCUACGUGUAGGGAAUUGACGGUAGCGUAGGAAUAAGCAUCGGCUAACUCCGUGCCAGCAGCCGCGGUAAUACGGAGGAUGCAAGCGUUAUCCGGAUUUAUUGGGUUUAAAGGGUGCGCAGGCGGGUUUUUAAGUCAGUGGUGAAAUACUGCCGCUUAACGGUAGAAUUGCCAUUGAAACUAGGAAUCUUGAGUGUGGUUGAGGUAGGCGGAAUGUGUAGUGUAGCGGUGAAAUGCAUAGAUAUUACACAGAACACCGAUUGCGGAGGCAGCUUACUAAGCCAUAACUGACGCUGAGGCACGAAAGCGUGGGGAGCGAACAGGAUUAGAUACCCUGGUAGUCCACGCUGUAAACGAUGUUCACUCGCUGUUUGCGAUACACAGUAAGCGGCUGAGCGAAAGCAUUAAGUGAACCACCUGGGGAGUACGAUCGCAAGGUUG
rnacentral:rRNA from 1 species